GGGAUUGCCUUAGUAACGGCGAGUGAAGCGGCAACAGCUCAAAUUUGAAAUCUGGCCCUCGGGUCCGAAUUGUAAUUUGUAGAGGAUGAUUUUGGUGCGGUAUCUUCCGAGUUCCUUGGAACAGGACGCCUUAGAGGGUGAGAGCCCCGUACGGUUGAAUGCCUAGCCUCUGUAAAUCUCCUUCGACGAGUCGAGUAGUUUGGGAAUGCUGCUCUAAAUGGGAGGUAAAUUUCUUCUAAAGCUAAAUAUUGGCCAGAGACCGAUAGCGCACAAGUAGAGUGAUCGAAAGAUGAAAAGCACUUUGAAAAGAGGGUUAAAUAGCACGUGAAAUUGUUGAAAGGGAAGGAUUUGUGACCAGACUUUUUCUGGGCGGAUCAUCCGGGGUUCUCUCCGGUGCACUUUGCCCAGUAAAGGCCAGCAUCGAUUUUCGGCGGCGGAUAAAAGCAGUGGGAAUGUGGCUCCCUACGGGGAGUGUUAUAGCCCAUUGUAUAAUACGCUGCUGGGGAUCGAGGUACGCGCUUCUGCAAGGAUGCUGGCGUAAUGGUUAUCAAUCACCC
rnacentral:rRNA from 1 species